GUUGGUUCUCCCGAUGUCCCUGACACUAGCAGGUUUAAUUCAAAGUAUAGAAGGCGACCUCCGUAGGUGUGUGGUCAUUGUGGAAAGAACGGAAGAGACCAUUUAGGUCACUCUGCAUGUUAGCGAAGUUGAAAACCAAGCCAGUAAGCAGUGAGUGAUUUGAUGAAGCAGUGCUUCAGGUGUCUGCCUCUUUGAGUUCGCUGAAAAGUUGGAUCUUACAUAUUUAGCACCUGAAACAACCGAAGGCUUACGGAGGACACUGACAGACUGGGGCGAGGAGGGUCUCUGCCUCCCCUGAAGACCUGGACCACCCUCCACACCUGGGCAAGUGCUGCAGCGGUGCCUGCUAUUAGAGUUAAGCAGCAAGGGCAGCGACACCUGGGAUGUAAAAAAAAAAUAAUUAUAAAUAAAUAAACACUAGCAAACUACCUGUUAGUUUCUACCUGUGAGGACCUAAGAAGACUAAACAAACAGCUCCUUAAUUUCUGGACUUUCCCUUGGAUCACAGAAGGAGACCCUGGGAAUUUUCUGAUUCCUUCUUUCCUUUUUUUCUUUUCUUUUUUUUUUCGGUCUUAAUGGAGAUCUUGAACUGCAGAGCCGCCGUGUCAGAACUCAGAUGGUUAACAUUCACUUCUUGCUGUUUUAUUGCAUAUUACUGUGCGCGCCUGAGCAGCGGGAGCAGAUUCGGGCAAUUACAAUCAAGUCAGGGCACACGCCGCGGCGGAGCAACACGAGCAUGAUGAGGAUACUGAUGAGGCACUUAUCGAAAACCCCACAUCAUCCACACUCAUCAGCCACAACAUGUCACCCCAAAUGAGGCAUCAGCUGCCUUCAAAAGGCUCAUUGCACAGUGUUUACCGCUUCCCUCGGACCCACUUUUGAUUUUACGCAGACAUGUUGAACUGCAAGAUUCCACUCGCGACGCCAGAAUUCGUCAAGAGGCCUGCAUUGUUGUUUCGCACUGAGGCAUAGGACCGGCUACAGGCCAUUGUUUCUCCAGCUCAAGUGGGCCUGUCUGGUUCGUGUUGGAAGAAUGAGGGUGACAUGCGUGAGUUCCCGAGUAUAAAAGAACUACUGGUUCUAGGAAGGAACAGGAGGUUAGCCACUAAUGCAGAGUAAAUAAACAUUUUUCACCACCUCUUGCUCCAUGUGAUUUUUAAAGGUCAAGAGCUGCCAUUACAGUAUUUUAAAAGCUUCAAAUUACAUUUAAAGAAUGUA
rnacentral:lncRNA from 1 species